GUGCAGAAUAAGGGGUGGGCAAGUCUGGUGUCAGCCGCCGCGGUAAUACCAGCACCCCGAGUGGUCGGGACGAUUAUUGGGCCUAAAGCAUCCGUAGCUUGUUCUGCAAGUCUUCCGUUAAAUCCACCUGCUCAACAGAUGGGCUGCGGGGGAUACUACAGGGCUAGGAGGCGGGAGAGGCAAGCGGUACUCAGUGGGUAGGGGUAAAAUCCACUGAUCCACUGAAGACCACCAGUGGCGAAGGCGGCUUGCCAGAACGCGCUCGGCGGUGAGGGAUGAAAGCUGGGGGAGCAAACCGGAUUAGAUACCCGGGUAGUCCCAGCUGUAAACGAUGCAGACUCGGUGAUG
rnacentral:rRNA from 1 species